GGGGGAAACCCUGACCGAGCGACGCCGCGUGGGUGAUGAAGUUUUUCGGAACGUAAAACCCUGUCAGGUGGGAUGAAAUACCAUUCGGUUAACACCCGAGUGGCUUGACAGUACCACCAGAGGAAGCUCCGGCCAACUCCGUGCCAGCAGCCGCGGUAACACGGGGGGAGCAAGCGUUGUUCGGAUUCAUUGGGCGUAAAGAGCUCGUAGGUGGCUCUGUAAGUCGGUGGUGAAAGCCCACGGCUCAACCGUGGAUACGCCUCCGAAACUGUGGAGCUUGAGGCUGGGAGAGGAAAUCGGAAUUCCUGGUGUAGCGGUGAAAUGCGUAGAUAUCAGGAGGAACACCGGUGGCGAAGGCGGCCCCCUGGGCUGGUACUGACGCUGAGGCGCGAAAGCGUGGGUAGCAAACGGGAUUAGAUACCCCGGUAGUCCACGCCGUAAACGAUGGGCACUUGGUGUCGCGGGUAUCGACCCCUGCGGUGCCGAAGCUAACGCAUUAAGUGCCCCGCCGUGGGGAGUACGGUCGCAAGGCUG
rnacentral:rRNA from 1 species